rnacentral:rRNA from 1 species
UACGAAGGGGGCGAGCGUUGUUCGGAUUUACUGGGCGUAAAGGGCGCGCAGGCGGCUCAUUUUGUCAGGCGUGAAAGCCCCGGGCUUAACCUGGGAACUGCGUUUGAUACGGAUGGGCUAGAGUUCGGGAGAGGAGAGUGGAAUUCCCAGUGUAGAGGUGAAAUUCGUAGAUAUUGGGAAGAACACCGGUGGCGAAGGCGGCUCACUGGACCGGAACUGACGCUGAGGCGCGAAAGCGUGGGGAGCAAACAGG